rnacentral:rRNA from 1 species
GCGUGAGCGAUGAAGGCCUUAGGGUUGUAAAGCUCUUUCAGCUGGGAAGAUAAUGACGGUACCAGCAGAAGAAGCCCCGGCUAACUCCGUGCCAGCAGCCGCGGUAAUACGGAGGGGGCUAGCGUUGUUCGGAAUUACUGGGCGUAAAGCGCGCGUAGGCGGAUAGUUAAGUCGGGGGUGAAAUCCCGGGGCUCAACCCCGGAACUGCCUUCGAUACUGGCUGUCUAGAGGUCGAGAGAGGUGAGUGGAAUGGCGAGUGUAGAGGUGAAAUUCGU